GAAGGCCACUCCGCUCGGCGGCCGCGCCGCACCCUCCCGCUCUGCCUCCCGCCCGCCCGCCCGCGCAGGCCGCGGCGGAGGGAUCUGCCGCUUGAUUUAUCAUCAAAGUUUUGCCCAGGCUGGGAUUUUUAAAGCGGUACUCGCAACUCUCCGCUCCGCCUGCGAGCGGGGGCUGGGGGCGCAAGCGGUGGAGAGACCCCCACCCCCCCAGGGCGCCCGGCUCCCGAAAGCGCAGUACUGCUGGGUUCAGGAACAGGAAACCCUACCGACAGGAAUAAGGAGAAAAAUCGUCCACCCGCAGGGAGGCCCCGCGCGCCGAGAGGGCGUCUUCAACUUUGUUGGCGUAGUAGUGCCGAGGUUGGGGGGCAGCAGGGGUGCAGCUGAGGGCCAGGCGAGGAAGGGACUCGGGGUGCGGCAGUAGAGCCAGAUUACAGCUCCGCCAAAGCCUUUGGCCCCCCGCCUGAUCGCGCCCAUGUAUGAAUCUCAAGGUCUUUAUCUGAGAAGUGGGAAACAAUGACAGCCAUCUCCAGGCAGUGGUGAGAAUCUGCAAAGUUAGGGAUGCAAAGCGCCGACCUUAAUACCAGCGAUAGGCCGCCCGGGGAGUGACUGUCGUUCUCCUCUCUGGGACUCAGUUUUCCCAUCUACAUAAUAGGAAUAAGUCCAGACGGUGAGCCUCCUUGCAGUUUAGAGACGCUGGGCCCUACUCGGUGAAUUGGAUCGCCCCCUUCUGGACUCUAGGGUUCCCUUUCCAGGGCAGAAGCCUGGAGGGAAUGUGCGCGAGCCACUCCCAUUCUGCAGAGCAGGAAUUCAAAGAGCUUUUUUCCCUGGAGCUGUUGACCAGACCCUCAGAAGAGAGGGCGAACUCGUGGCUUAUUUAAAAGAACGGAAGCAGCUUAGAUCAGAGAGAGCAGCUUCUCCCUGGGCCCACGGAGGGAACGGAGCAAGGCCCCUGACUGCCGGAGCAAGGCAGGAUCUUGCGAGUUCUCGGCUCCUGCCGGUCUUCAGCCCUUGCCUGAUGCGGUGGCAGGACCCCCGAGGACCGCGCCAGCCUCCCUCUGGCCCGGAGGCCGGUCUCUGCUCCGUCGCGCAGGCAUCUCCGCAGGCUCUUUGGUGCGAUGUUUCAGCACCAUGGACAGCCUCCCGGUCUUCCCCUUUCUCCGCCGAAAAGGAUUAGCGUCUCAGACGGCGGCUGCUGACCACAGGCGCAUCCAGUACUCAGUACCUAGAUCUAAGGGCGAGGUUAAAGCCUGUGGGCCGUUACUUUGUUGUCUUUAUUGUCUUCGCCUCCCUGCCCGUCCAGUGUUAUGGCGGCCAACACCCUGGACGGGAUCGGUGGUCAAAGCAACGGUCCAGUUUCCUCAAAACUGAGAACAGGGCCAGAUAUCUAGCUCAGCGGCACGGCGCCUGUAUGACAAGUACGAGGUCCCUUCAUCCACAAAAAAAAAAAAAAAAAAAAAAAAAAAAGCGAUGUCAAACGCUUGGACAGUGUUUGGUGCCACGGUACCACGGAUAGCUCACCGGCUUCAAGCCAGAACCCUUCUUUCAGCACCGUGGAUAGGGCCCCAAUCACUUCAGCUGCUGGACCACAUGGGAGAGGGGGGCCUUUUCUGCCCUAUUAAUGCGCUUCUCACUUUCUUUCCGCACAAACGUGGUAUUCAGAUUAUCACGGGUGGUCAGGCUGGCUGGCCUUGGACUCUACAAGAACAUACUCAAUCAUUAAUUCACUUAACCGUCCUCCCGAUGAAAUGGAUGGUAUCAAUCCUAACAUAAAGAUGAAGGAACCGAAGCUCAGAGAGGUGCAGUAACCUGCACAAGGUUGCGCAGUAAGAUGGGGCAGAGCUGCGUGCGAUCUCCAAGCCAUACUCCUGCAUUACGUAGUUCUCUCCUUAGUUUGCUUCACCAAUCCAAAUGCAGACACUUGUGUCAACUGAGAGUAUAGAGAAAGUAGAAGGUAACCAAAGACUAUCCCAGAAAUCAUUUCUGGGAAUUCACUAGAGUGGGUGACUAAUCACUCGUUUCACUCUGGGAAUGCUGCAGGAAAGAGUAAGCCUCCCAUCCCUAGAGGUAACUAAACAAGCAUCUAGCAGUCAUGUGGAUGCCAUGAAGCAAAUAUCACUGCUAUUUCCCUUACACAAAUGAGGCUCAGGAGGUGAACACCAUAUCAAGUAUCUCAGCUGGGAAAGAUGGUAAUUUUAAAGUCCCCCUCCCCCAAGCAGGAGAAAUCGCAUGCUCCUUGCUUCUAAGCUGAGCUCCGCGGAGAGUCCACACCCUCCCCUUGACUCUGGGAGGCCACCCUCCCUCCCCUCCUUGAAAGGUGUCACUUGAGCACUGUGGCUCUGUCAGUAGUAACAGCCAUAAGAUUUGUCCUUUUAAUCCAGAAUCAAUAACAAAUUUCAUUUAAAAAUAAAUUAAACUAGGCAUUGGAAAUCAUUCACCGUGUGGGCCGGGGCCCUAUAGAGCACCGUCUAAAUGGCUUCCUCUUGCUCAUCUAUCAAUGCCAAGAGGGGGGAAAUACCUAAGCUGCCUGAUUCAUGGAGAAACUACUUAAAUGUAUCAGCCCCUAACAAUGAGCAGUGUAAGCCCAGAGUCGCACCUUUUAACACACCAAUAACAUGUGGAGCGAGGCUCUAUGAGAGCUUAUCAGAGACCCCACGGUCACUGGCUUCGAGCAAACCCAUUUAUAAGGGGGAACAAUGGCUUUAGUAUGGAACCGCCUAAUUUUCAGAAUGCAUUACUGAGCUCUGAGGAGCAAUGGAAUUCUAUUAAAGUCUUAUCUGCCACAGGAGGAUAUGAAACCGGCAGGGAAAUCCUGACUUGGCACAGACAUGCCCAGAAAGCACCAGGGCUGACCCGAGGAGGUGGGUGAACCAGCCCAGAAUGAAGGAGGGGGCAGGCGGGGCCCCGGAUGUGUGAAAAUAUGUGCAUUAAUAGAGCUCCAGUUUCCAGCGAUUACGUUUACAUCAGCGAAUAAAACUUGGCCAUAAAACAUCA